AACGAGGCCGACCUGCGGCUGAGUUACCUGCGGAGGGAUCAUUACCGAGUUUACAACUCCCAAACCCAUGUGAACAUACCUAUCGUUGCUUCGGCGGAUCGCCCCGGGCGCCUUGCGUGCCCCGGAUCCAGGCGGCCGCCGGGGGACCUUAACUCUUGUUUUUACUGAGAAUCUUCUGAGUCGUUUUUACAAAUAAAUAAAAACUUUCAACAAUGGAUCU
rnacentral:misc_RNA from 1 species